UUAUUGGAGAGUUUGAUCCUGGCUCAGGACGAACGCUGGCGGCGUGCCUAAUACAUGCAAGUCGAGCGAAUCAAUGGGAGCUUGCUCCCAGAGAUUAGCGGCGGACGGGUGAGUAACACGUGGGUAACCUGCCUGUAAGAUUGGGAUAACUCCGGGAAACCGGAGCUAAUACCGGAUAAUAUUUUGAACCGCAUGGUUCGAAAUUGAAAGAUGGCGUCUAGCUAUCACUUACGGAUGGACCCGCGGCGCAUUAGCUAGUUGGUGAGGUAACGGCUCACCAAGGCAACGAUGCGUAGCCGACCUGAGAGGGUGAUCGGCCACACUGGG
rnacentral:rRNA from 1 species